GCCAUGUUUCCUGAACACAAAAUGGCGACACGUGGUUAGCAUUCGUCGCCAACGAGAAAUUGGGGUCGGCCCGAAAGCUCUAGAAUGCACCCCUCUUCCUCCCCGGGGCCUUCCACCUCCGCGAGUUUUAUGACUUAAAAAAGCCCACAGGCUGGUCUGAAGAGGAAGACAAACAUAAAGAUGAAGUGCUUAAUUCAAGGUCACACAAUGUCGGGGAUGGACCUCCAGAUUUCCUUACUGGUGAGACGUGGUCUUGUAACACAGUGGUUAAGAAUGUGACUUUGGAGCCAGCCUGCUAGGGGCUGAAUUCUGACUCAGCCAUUUACUAACUGUGUGACCUUAGGGAGGAGGACCUGGUUGAUAGAAGAAUUUAUCUCGUAGUCUUAACAUCCACUGUAAUUCCAAACUUUGAGGACGAUAGAGAUCAGUGGGCUUUGACUGCCCAGCAUGCAGUCUCCAUUCUUAGGUGGGUUCCCAAGCCUGUAAAAUGUAAGCCUUAUGCUGCUGAGGGCCAUCUUGCCACCCUGAGGGAAACGCUGCCUGAGAAUGAAACAAGCAUAAGUAAAAGCUGAGCUGUGAGAUGGAGCAAGAUGAAGGCCACAUGACAUCUUUGGAGCACCUGGAUCUAACUGUGCCUUAAGCUAGUCUAACCCUGAACAUUUCAUCAUUUCAUUGACAUGAGCCCAGGUUUUCUUUUUUUUUGGAUGGAGUCUUGCUCUGUCGCCCAGGCUGGAGUGCAGUAGCUCAAUCUCGGCUCACUGCAAGCUCCACCUCCCGGGUUCACGCCAUUCUCCUGCCUUAGCCUCCCAAGUAGCUGGGACAACAGGCGCCCACCACCACUCCCAGCUAAUUUUUUGUAUUUUUAGUAGAGACGGGGUUUUACCAUGUUAGCCGGGAUGGUCUUGAUCUCCUGACCUCAUGAUCCGCCCGCCUCGGCCUCCCAAAGUGCUGGGAUUACAGGUGUGAGCCACUGCACCCAGCCCUCAGGUUUUCCCUUUUUUUACCCCUCCUUUUGAAAAUUUGAUGUGGAAUUUUGCCACCUGCAGCCAGAAGAGUUUUAACUAAUCAGUGCCAUAAAUUUUAUAUAGUUCUCCUUGCAAAAUGUGGAUCAGCCUUUCUCAGCAAAUCCUUUGUCAUAAAGUGCUGAAUUGUAAGUUUGUCAUGAGAAUCACAUGAGAUCAUGCAUGUGAAGAACCUGGCAUUAUCCUCCUCAUAGAAAAAAACCAGUAAAUAUUAACUACAGGAAGCAAGGAAGGAGUGGGGUGAGGGGAAGAAGAAGGGGUACUGAUUUAAAAGAACCCUGGAGUCCUAAGGAUAAUCUAGGAACCCUCAGACCCAAUCCGAUACCCCUAUUCUAAAUGCUCCUAGUGCCCUGUACCUUCCCCUCAUAAGCCUUCAUUAUCAUUGUAAUGAUAUGUUUAUGUAAUAUUUUGAUUAAUGUCUCUCCUUCACUGACCUAGCAGUUCUAGCAGGGCAGUGAUUUUGCUGUGUUGCAUCCCCAGCACCUAGUCUGGUAUGUGGCAUUCAGCAUAUGUUUAUUGAAUGAAUGGCCAUGUGGUUAUUCAGAUCCUCCUUGAUUAUUGGGGUUAGGAUUGUGGCAGAAGUGGCAAAAUCAGGGAGAGUAGUCCCUGUCCCCUCUGUAUCUUAUACACUGCCCACACUCCCAACACACAUACACAUACAGAGAAUUUUGUCUCAAUUAGAUAAUUAACUUCUGCUUGGUUGUAAACCAAACCACUGGUUCUUAAACUUUCAUUGGAUCAUUUUAUUGAAGAAUUAAAUAGUGUGGUUCUGGCCUAAUGUCUGGAAAGCCUUGCAGAGGAGUGGAUUAGGUCUUUGUGAUAAACAGGCAGCCUUCCCUGCUCCUGUGUCUUUAUAAAAUCUAUUUAACUGGAGUAGUCCACCCUCCCUCAGGCUCUUACAGGAAUAUGUUGGAGGCUGUAGGAAGGUGGGAAACCGAGAGGGAAAGGACUGGGCCGCUGGAGACUUCACUCAUUCCCUAGCAAGAAACAAAAGCAGUAAAAGGUGGCCCGAGGACAACCUGAAGCUCACUCCUUCAGCACUUUUGGCUGGAGGUCACUUGUUGGAGCCCCACUCAGAGCUCAGCACACCACCCCACCAGCAGCCUCCUCCUCCCAGCUGAGGCUGCAUUUCAUCCCUUCCCCCAGCCUGCUUUCCCUGAGAUAGGGGAGUGUUUCCCAGGGCCCAUGUGACUUCCACUGGCAAGUGACGAUUACCAAUGGUUUACUAGUCAGUGAAACUACCAAAGGCUUUUGUGCUGUAGUAAUCCUUUUCCUGUUUAAAACUCUGGGGAUUUUCUAAUGUUGCCAAUAGUUUUUCAAGUCAGCAAUUACUGUGUGGAUUAUGUAAUGGCUCGGUAUUAAAAAUAGAAA
rnacentral:lncRNA from 1 species